rnacentral:rRNA from 1 species
CGAGCGGACGGAUGGGAGCUUGCUCCCUGAAGUCAGCGGCGGACGGGUGAGUAACACGUGGGCAACCUGCCUGUAAGACUGGGAUAACUUCGGGAAACCGGAGCUAAUACCGGAUAAUGCAUAACCUCUCAUGAGGUUAUGCUGAAAGAUGGUUUCGGCUAUCACUUACAGAUGGGCCCGCGGCGCAUUAGCUAGUUGGUGAGGUAACGGCUCACCAAGGCAACGAUGCGUAGCCGACCUGAGAGGGUGAUCGGCCACACUGGGACUGAGACACGGCCCAGACUCCUACGGGAGGCAGCAGUAGGGAAUCUUCCGCAAUGGACGAAAGUCUGACGGAGCAACGCCGCGUGAGUGAUGAAGGUUUUCGGAUCGUAAAACUCUGUUGUCAGGGAAGAACAAGUGCCGGAGUAACUGCCGGCACCUUGACGGUACCUGACCAGAAAGCCACGGCUAACUACGUGCCAGCAGCCGCGGUAAUACGUAGGUGGCAAGCGUUGUCCGGAAUUAUUGGGCGUAAAGCGCGCGCAGGCGGUCUCUUAAGUCUGAUGUGAAAGCCCACGGCUCAACCGUGGAGGGUCAUUGGAAACUGGGGGACUUGAGUGCAGAAGAGGAAAGUGGAAUUCCACGUGUAGCGGUGAAAUGCGUAGAGAUGUGGAGGAACACCAGUGGCGUAGCGACUUUCUGGUCUGUAACUGACGCUGAGGCGCGAAAGCGUGUGGAGCAAACAGGAUUAGAUACCCUGGUAGUCCACGCCGUAACGAUGAGUGCUAAGUGUUAGAGGGUUUCCGCCCUUUAGUGCUGCAGCACACGCAUUAAGCACUCCGCCUGGGGAGUACUGCCGCAAGGCUGAACUCAAGGAU